UGUGAGUGGGUGACAUUAGUAAAGGACUGCUCUCGGGCUUUUUCUGGUUCCUCGAGUGCCACUGGGUUCCUCCGUCCGGUCCAGCCUCUUGCCCCUUGGGGCUUCUCGGUACAUGGAGAGACGCGGGGGACGGCCACAGUACUUUUACCGUAUGCUAUGCCUGUCUCCCUGCGAAGUGGCCCUUUUGCGUGUCAGGCGUGCCCGCUUUGCAGUUGUCACCCGUGCCGUUUCUUGGGAUGGUGGGAGCCGCGGUCUUUUGAGAGAAGGCCUCGUGUUUGUUCCUUCCUGACCAUGGGCGGUGUUUUUUUUCUCUUUUUUUUUUUUUUUUUUUUUUCCCCCCUUCUCCGGAGCUCCCGAGUUCUCACCAGGGGAAGCCGUCAGGGCUGUGCCUCCCGAGUGCACCUGCUUUUUUGUGCCCACAGUAUUAAAGCUUUUGCUUUUCUUGCUCCGAGGGCGUCGGUGCUUGUUUUUUUCCGUGGUUUUUUUGAUGGCUUUUUUUUUUUUUUUUUUUUUUCCCCCCUAUAUGGUGGUGGUGUAUUGGCUCUCUCCCGUUUCUCUCGUUCACGCUCGCUCGCUCGCUUCUCCCGUCUUGCUCGCUCCAAGUUGGCCUUAAAAAAAGGCGGUCUCUCCCCGGUUUUCUCUGGAUCGAUGUGGUACUCUCAAGCUCUCUUCGGGCCGGAGCCUAAGCCGCGCCAGGCGAGGGACGGACAUUCAUGGCGAAUGGCGGCCGCUCUUCUCGUUCUGCCAGCGGGCCCCUCGCCUCUCCUCCCCACCGUUUGGUGGUGUGUGGAAGGCAGGGGUGCGGUUAUCCGGUCUGAACCCUGUCAAUCCCCGCACUUGUCGCUGUGGUUCGUGGGGUUCUUGCGACGUGCCAGGUUGCCCCUGGCGCGGCUCGCGUGGUCUGCCUGGUCCCCCUCCCCGGAACGGGGCAGGGGGUGGCCAGUCUGCCGUGCUGCAUGCCCUUCCCGGCUGGCGUGUGCACGUGUCUCGCUCGCUAUCCUCGCGGUGCUCCUGGAGCGCUCCAGGCUUGACCUCGAAGGUGCCCGUUUCUGAGCGGUGGCGUCGCUUCCCGCUCCCUGGCGUGCUGCCUCCUGCGUGCUCGGUCUGGCCUCGGUGGCGUGUGUUGUCGUUCCCGGCUCUUUGUGGACGCGGGGGUCCGUGCCGCUCUGGUUUUACGAGGUGUCGUUUGUGGGGGGUCGAGAAAGUGGUUUCAGGCGGGUAAGAGUUCUCUUGCGGCGUUUCCCCGGGACGUCCGCAUGUGUGUGUGGCAUCUCUUCCCGCUUUGGGUGAGCGCCCGCCACGUACUUGGGCCUUCUCCCGUAGGCUCGUGCGUCGGUUGGUGUCGAGCGUUCGCGGCCGGCCUUUUUUGUGCUUAAGUGUAUCUUAAGCCCGUUAAUUUGGCUCACCGCCGUUCGCCCGGAGGUGGGUUUGAGAGGCCCGGCUUGUCCGGGGGUGCCUUUUUCUUGGCCCCGGUACCCCUGUCCGCGAGUGCUCAAUGUGAACCCUGGUAAAGAGAAAAAGCCUUUACCGAUACCGCGGGGCCCCCCCUCAGACGCUCGCUCGUGGCUUGCCCGUUUAUACUCUGUGACGGGGUUUGAGUGUGCACGCUGUACCCCCGCACGCACGCUGCCCUUGGCCACCGCGGCCGGGAGCUCGCCGGGUCGGGUCCGUCCCGCCCUCAGUGAGAAAAGUUGCCUUCUCUAGCGAUCCGAGGAAAGGGCGUGCUAUGUCCGGAUCUGGUUUGUGUUGUGGGGUUCCCUCCCGCGUUGGUCCCCCUGACCCGACCGGCUGCCCGCCCCGACCGCCCGAUUGUCCCCGCACGGUUUGGCGGGGUAACCGAGCGUCUGUGCCUUUGUUGCUCUCGUUUUCGCCUAUCGCGGCCCGCGCCUCCUCGCUCCGAGUCCGAGGAGGAAUCACGCGGGGCAGAGCUGUCGUCAGUCACGCCUGUGUCGCUUGGAGCCGCGGGGUUUGUCUUUCGUGGUGUGGCGGCCGCGAGCGGCCCCUCCCGCGCGCCCCCGUGUUCGCCGUUCCCGUGGCGCGGACAAUGCGGUUGUGCGUCCACGUGUGCGUGUCCGCUCGUGCAGUGCCGUUGUGGAGUCGCCUCGCUCUCCUCCUCCUCCCCGGCAGCGUUCCCACGGUUGGGGACCACCGGUGACCUCUCCCCCUCUUCGGGGCCUGGGGAUCCGGGUCUGGUGGGAAUUGUUGACCUCGCUCUCGGGUGCGGCCUUUGGGGAACGGCGGGGUCGGUCGUGCCCGGCGCGUCGCCGGACGUGUGUCGGGGCCCACUUCCCGCUCGAGGGUCUUCGGCGGUGGCGGCGGCGUUGGUAGUCUCCCGUGUUGCGUCUUCCCGGGCUCCCUUGGGGGGGGGGGUGCCGUCGUUUUCGGGGCCGGCUUGGCUUACGCAGGCUUGGUUUGGGACUGCCUCAGGAGUCGUGGGGCGGUGUGAUUCCCGCCGGUUUUGCCUCGCGUCUGCCUGGUCGUGUCUCGGAGCGGUGGUCUCUCCUCUCUCGGUCCCGGGAGAGGCGUCUUCCGGGGACGUUCCCGUCGCCCCUGCCGCCGCUGGCUCUCGUUCGGCUGUGUCGUUCCCCCUCCCCGUCUCGCCGUCGGUUCUCCCCGGUCGGUCGGCCCGGCCGUGCUGCCGGACCCCCCCUUCUGGGGGGGAUGGCCGGGCACGCACGCGUCCGGGCGGCCACUGUGGUCCGGGAGCCGCUCGGCAGGCGGGUGAGCCAGUUGGAGGGGCGUCAUGCCCCCGCGGGCUCCCGUGGCCGACGCGGCGUGUUCUUUGGGGGGCCUGUGCGUGCGGGAAGGCUGCGCACGUUGUCGGUCCUUGCGAGGGAAAGAGGCUUUUUUUUUUUAGGGGGUCGUCCUUCGUCGUCCCGUCGGCGGUGGAUCCGGCCUGGCCGAGGUGCGUCUGCGGGUUGGGGCUCGUCCGGCCCCGUCGUCCUCCGGGAAGACGUUUAGCGGGUACCGUCGCCGCGCCGAGGUGGGCGCACGUCGGUGAGAUAACCCCGAGCGUGUUUCUGGUUGUUGGCGGCGGGGGCUCCGGUCGAUGUCUUCCCCUCCCCCUCUCCCCGAGGCCAGGUCAGCCUUCCGCCUGUGGGCUUCGUCGGCCGUCUCCCCCCCUCACGUCCCUCGCGAGCGAGCCGUCCGUUCGACCUUCCUUCCGCCUUCCCUCCAUCUUUCGCGCUCGUGGCCCGGGGUUUCACGGCGCCCCCACGCUCCUCCGCCUCUCGCCGUGGUUGGACGCCUGUCCGGUCUCCCGCCGACCCCGUUGGCGUGGUCUCGCUCCCGCCUGCUCUCGGUCUCCCGACCCCGCCCGGAGGGUUCGGGGUUCCGGUCCUCCCCGGCGUUGCGCCUCGCUGCCGUGUUUGGUGGGGGUUGGCCCGCUGCGGCCCCGCACCCGCUCACGAGCUCCGCCCGUGGCCCGCCGUCUGGCAUGGUUUCGCGACGCGGUCGGUAGGCCCGGUGUGUGACGCGUUAGGGAGGUGUGUCGUUCGUCCCGCGCCCGCGCGCGCGCGUGUGCGUGCUCCCUACGAGUUGUGGUGGUUUCGGUGAAUCGUCGCUCCCGCGGGCUCCCGCCGCAGGUCGUCGUCGUCGUUCUUCCUCUCACCCCACCCCACACACCCGGUGUUCCCCGACCCCGUGGCCCGGGCGGCCCGGCUUGUUGACGGCUCUCCCGAUGCCUGCCAGGCCCCGUGGAGAGAGGCGCGCGGCGGGGAAGGGGGGUGAGAGAGAAGAAAGGAAAAAUGGGGGGGGGGAAGAGUUUGGAUGGUGUGUUGCUGUCGGCGGGUAGGUUGGUCGGUUUGGUUGUGGUCGGUAAGGUGGCGCGACUGGGCCCGUCUGUCUGGGGGCCCUGCUCCCCGCGCCUCCUUUUCUGUGCCCUUCCUUCCUUCCUUCCUUGCCGCCACCGCCGCCUCCUGCCUCCCUCGCCUCUUUUUUUUUUUUCUUUCUCUCUCUCUCGCCCUCUCCCCGUUCGAACGUCUCUCCUCCGCGGGGUGUCGGGUUCAGGUUUCGCUUGCACGCGCUCCC
rnacentral:misc_RNA from 1 species